rnacentral:tRNA from 1 species
GGGCUUAUAGUUUAAUUGGUUGAAACAUACCGCUUAUAACGGUGAUAUUGUAGGUCCGAGCCUUAUUAAGCCUA